UACGUAGGGUGCAAGCGUUGUCCGGAAUUACUGGGCGUAAAGAGCUCGUAGGUGGUUUGUCGCGUUGUUCGUGAAAACUCACAGCUCAACUGUGGGCGUGCGGGCGAUACGGGCAGACUUGAGUACUGCAGGGGAGACUGGAAUUCCUGGUGUAGCGGUGGAAUGCGCAGAUAUCAGGAGGAACACCGGUGGCGAAGGCGGGUCUCUGGGCAUUACCUGACGCUGAGGAGCGAAAGUGUGGGGAGCGAACAGG
rnacentral:rRNA from 1 species